GACGGCGGGAGCUGUGGCUGAGGAGGCGGAGGCGGCCGCCGGGCAUCAUCCCUGAGGGCGCGUCUCCCUCGCCUUGGCCGCCCUUCCUUCUUGCCUUCCUUCCUUCCUUCCCUCAGCCCGUCCGUCCGUCCGUCCUUCGCCGCCUCACGGACACACGCGAGCGCACAGCUGCACCGAACGCCUGAAAAGUUCCCAUUCUUUCCAGCUUGCAUUACAAAACUGGAUUUUAGAAGUAUUCAACAAUGGGGAGCUAGGACAAACCUCUUUCAGGAUUAUAUGGCCCAAAGAAAGAAAUGAAAUACGGAAACAAGGCUUCUUUAGAAAAAGGUAUCUGCAUGCUGAGUUCAGAAUUGUGUCUUCUCUGCUGGAGGAGAGCCUUGUCAUCUGCAAGUCACUAUGAAGAAGUUGCACAAUUUGUGUUCAAGCUUAAAGCUCUCUUUGAUAUGAUACGU